rnacentral:rRNA from 1 species
AUCGAACGCUGGCGGCAUGCUUUACACAUGCAAGUCGAACGGUAACAGGCCGCAAGGUGCUGACGAGUGGCGAACGGGUGAGUAAUGCAUCGGAACGUGCCCAGUCGUGGGGGAUAACUACUCGAAAGAGUAGCUAAUACCGCAUACGAUCUAUGGAUGAAAGCGGGGGACCGUAAGGCCUCGCGCGAUUGGAGCGGCCGAUGUCAGAUUAGGUUGUUGGUGGGGUAAAGGCUCACCAAGCCAACGAUCUGUAGCUGGUCUGAGAGGACAACCAGCCACACUGGGACUGAGACACGGCCCAGACUCCUACGGGAGGCAGCAGUGGGGAAUUUUGGACAAUGGGCGCAAGCCUGAUCCAGCAAUGCCGCGUGCAGGAAGAAGGCCUUCGGGUUGUAAACUGCUUUUGUACGGAACGAAACGGCUCUGGUUAAUACCCGGGGCUAAUGACGGUACCGUAAGAAUAAGCACCGGCUAACUACGUG